UGGCUCUCGCAUCGAUGAAGAACGCAGCGAAAUGCGAUAAGUAAUGUGAAUUGCAGAAUUCAGUGAAUCAUCGAAUCUUUGAACGCACCUUGCGCUCCUUGGUAUUCCGAGGAGCAUGCCUGUUUGAGUGUCAUGAAACCAUCAACCCCUCCGGCAUUUUGGUGUCGUGUGGUGGCUUGGAAUUGGGGGUUUCUGCUGGCUCCGGUCAGCUCCCCUUGAAUGCAUUAGCUCGGCUUUCCUGGCGGACGUCACUGCGUGAUAAUUAUCUACGCUCUGAUUGCUCUGUGGGGAGCUUUUGGGUUGGGCUUACAAUCGUCUUAGGACAACAUUCUUUCAUUUUGACCUCAAAUCAGGUAGGACUACCCGCUGA
rnacentral:misc_RNA from 1 species